CCAGAUCAACGUUUUGUCUCAAAGAGUUUUGAGCCGAUUGACUGCUGGAGAACAACAAAUGCAGGGCGAAUCACUCAUUAGUAUCAUGGAGAUUCUUGUUUGGGAUUUCCAUCUCCAUUGUUUAGAUAAAGGUAAGCAAAUCAUGUCAAGUAUUCUCUAAAAUGUAUCCCCAACCAACAAUACAUAUACCAAUGUAUUUUACGCCACAUAAAUCAAAAGUUUUUCUUUGCUUCAUGGCAAUCGUUUUAAAUAUGAGCAGGAAAUGCGUUUCUUAACAUCUAUGUUACAAUCUUCACCAUGACACUACGUGGAAAAUUUGAAACAUGUGAGUAUGAGCACACAAAUAUUUUAGUCUCGUUAAAAUAUUUGUAACCUAUAAUUUUGUAUUUUUGGGUAGACAUUUAGGCAGCAAUCACUCGUUUUGUACACGUACAUACGAUUAUUAUACUAUUAGAAUAACUCCAAUAGAUAACUUACUUUUGAAUGUUCAGGAUUCACAAGGACCAUCAUACCUGAACGAUUGGUUGAUCGUCGUCAACCAAAGGGAACACAGGCAUCCGAAGAUUUGCGUAAAUUGACUGGGGGGGAUUGCUUUUUUCAUCAUGUCAAUGGGAGGAUAUUCAAUGCAUCUGUGUAUGUUAAUGACCCUUUCCUAGGAAUGAUCAUCACGUUAAACAAGCGAUGCAUUCCGUACGAGGACAUUGUCUUAACAGGUUACCAGCAAUCCAGACACACACCUUCGUGUACACCAGAAGAGACAGGUUCAGAGGUUGAAAGCUUUCAACUGUACCUCAGUGAGAGCGGGAAUGAAAGUGAUACAGGCCGUGAUCCAACAUGGACACUUCCCCCCAAGUCUCCGCCAGAGGUUGUUGUCCCUUCCACAAUGGUAAAUAUUACACAGCAAUAACUGUGAAAAUGUACAUGUGAGACGUACAUUUGUUUAAUUUAGAGAUACAAAGGGAGGAUGUCAUUUAAAAUAAGAAAAUAUGUCACUCACGGAAAACUGUUAUAAAUGAAAUAAUCUGGAGGUACAAUGAAGCUCUGAUAGAAUACUAGUAGAUCUUAAAUUGGCAUUAUUCAACUUAGCAACAAUAUUUCAUGCCAAUGUUCCAAUUGGAAUUUAAUACAUAUUGCAUUGAUCAGACAUUAUCUGUCCAUGUAAUCCAUUUGACUUACUUUGACAAUAAUAUCAAUACUAUCUAGCUUCAUAUGCAAGUAUGUAAUUACAUCAGAAAGCGGCCUGUAUAUAUGUCAUAAAUUGAUGUUGACAUGUGUUUACACCUGAACAGACUGGACCCAUGAAACAAAGACACAAAUGAUAACUUACAGUGAAUUCUAUACAGCUGUGAAAAAAUGGCAAUAACUUAUAGACGAACUUAACAUACAAUGUUUUUUCACCAAUGAUAAGCUUUGCAUUUUAUUACGAAUCUUUUUAAUUUCAGGGUACUCGCACGACCAGUAUAAGAAAGAGGAAACGAGAGGUUUGUAGCGUAUACAUUACUGCAUGGUUGUGUGGAUUAUAUUUAGUAACUGUUAUAUAUGAAUUUUCACUUUCUCUUUUCGUUUCUCUGCAAAUGAUGUCCUAAAACAUUUCAUAAUAUAUAUUAAUUUUGUAUCUCAUAGGAUAUGCAGCAAGAGCAAGAGCGAACGAAGAAGGGGACAAAUCCUGCGAAUGAGGUGAAUUUAGGUUUCCUUUCUCAUUACUGUCAGGACUAAUUAUUUUAGUAAAGAAUUUAUCUCGUCUUAUUAACCAGACUUCUGAGACAGUAUGAGCAAGUUGGUAGCUAAGUUAUAACCUGUGUUGCCCGUGUAUGUUGUAUGAUCUAACAAAAUCUUCUUCACAUCAUUAUAGUUCCUGAUUCUUUGAAGAGGACCGGCAUCAGGCCAGUCGACGAAUGCAUCGUCUCCUCGAACUUCCCCACUUGCAUCGCCUGAAACGACCCUAUGCACAUCACGAUCACCACGCCAUGUAUCUACCUCAACAACAGGACUGUCUGACCAUUCCAGUGACGCAGAUAUCGUUACACUGAAACUUGAAGUCGCCAGCCUCAAAAAGGAAAUCCAGGAAUUAGGACUGUUGGUAGAGUCGAUGGUUUCUGACACCACGCCGCCUUCACCAAUAUCAG
rnacentral:lncRNA from 1 species